GUAGUCCAGACCGUAAACGGUGGGCACUAGUCGUGGGAACCUUCCACGGUUUUUGCGACGCAGCUAACGCAUUAAGUGCCCCGCCUGGGGAGUACGAUCGCAAGAUUAAAACUCAAAGGAAUUGACGGGGCCCCGCACAAGCAGCGGAGCAUGCGGCUUAAUUCGACGCAACGCGAAGAACCUUACCAAGGCUUGACAUAUAGGGAAAAGUGGCAGAGAUGUCAUGUCCGCAAGGGCUCUAUACAGGUGGUGCAUGGUUGUCGUCAGCUCGUGUCGUGAGAUGUUGGGUUAAGUCCCGCAACGAGCGCAACCCUCGUUCUGUGUUGCCAGCAUUUAGUUGUGGACUCACAGGAGACUGCCGGGGUUAACUCGGAGGAAGGUGGGGAUGACGUCAAAUCAUCAUGCCCCUUAUGUCUUGGGCUGCACGCAUGCUACAAUGGCCGGUACAGAGGGCUGCAAUACCGUAAGGUGGAGCGAAUCCCAAAAAGCCGGUUUCAGUUCGGAUUGAGGUCUGCAACUCGACCUCAUGAAGUUGGAGUUGCUAGUAAUCGUAGAUCAGCAACGCUACGGUGAAUACGUUCCCGGGGCUUGUACACACCGCCCGUCACGUCACGAAAGUCGGUAACACCCAAAGUCAGUGGCCCAACCGCAAGGGGGGAGCUGCCUAAGGUGGGAUCGGUGAUUGGGACGAAGUCGUAACAAGGUAACC
rnacentral:rRNA from 1 species